CCUACGGGGGGCUUCAUUUUUUCCUCUUCCCCCCGGGGGGGGGGGCGGAGGGUGUUGUGGUGCGUGUGGGUAGAAGGUCAUCGGGUUGUAAAGCACUUUUAGUGAGGAAGAAAGCCUGGUGGUUAAUACCCAUCAGGAAAGACAUCACUCACAGAAGAAGCACCGGCUAACUCCGUGCCAGCAGCCGCGGUAAUACGGAGGGUGCGAGCGUUAAUCGGAAUUACUGGGCGUAAAGCGCGCGUAGGUGGCUUGAUAAGCCGGUUGUGAAAGCCCCGGGCUCAACCUGGGAACGGCAUCCGGAACUGUCAAGCUAGAGUGCAGGAGAGGAAGGUAGAAUUCCCGGUGUAGCGGUGAAAUGCGUAGAGAUCGGGAGGAAUACCAGUGGCGAAGGCGGCCUUCUGGACUGACACUGACACUGAGGUGCGAAAGCGUGGGUAGCAAACAGGAUUAGCUACCCUAGUAGUC
rnacentral:rRNA from 1 species